AUUGAACGCUGGCGGAAUGCUUUACACAUGCAAGUCGAACGGUAGAGGGGGCAACCCCUUGAGAGUGGCGAACGGGUGAGUAAUAUAUCGGAACGUGCCCAGUCGUGGGGAUAACGUAGCGAAAGUUACGCUAAUACCGCAUACGAUCUAAGGAUGAAAGCGGGGGAUCGCAAGACCUCGCGCGAUUGGAGCGGCCGAUAUCAGAUUAGGUAGUUGGUGAGGUAAAGGCUCACCAAGCCGACGAUCUGUAGCUGGUCUGAGAGGACGACCAGCCACACUGGGACUGAGACACGGCCCAGACUCCUACGGGAGGCAGCAGUGGGGAAUUUUGGACAAUGGGCGCAAGCCUGAUCCAGCAAUGCCGCGUGCAGGAUGAAGGCCU
rnacentral:rRNA from 1 species